UAGUAACUGCGAGUGAAGCGGGAAAAGCUCAAAUUUGUAAUCUGACAGUUUUAUUGACUGUCCGAGUUGUAAACUAGAGAAGUGCUAUCCGCGCUGGACCGUGUACAAGUCUCCUGGAAUGGAGCGUCAUAGAGGGUGAGAAUCCCGUCUUUGACACGGACUGCCAGGGCUUUUGUGAUGCGCUCUCAAAGAGUCGAGUUGUUUGGGAAUGCAGCUCAAAAUGGGUGGUAAAUUCCAUCUAAAGCUAAAUAUUGGCGAGAGACCGAUAGCGAACAAGUACCGUGAGGGAAAGAUGAAAAGAACUUUGGAAAGAGAGUUAAACAGUACGUGAAAUUGUUGAAAGGGAAACGCUUGAAGUCAGUCGCGUCAUCCAGGGAUCAACCUUGCGGAUCCGUUCGCAGGGUGCACUUCCUGGCUUUGACGGGUCAGCAUCAAUUUUGACCGUCGGAUAAAGGUCAGGGGAAUGUGGCAUCUUCGGAUGUGUUAUAGCCCCUAAUCGCAUACGGUGGUUGGGAUUGAGGAACUCAGCAUGCCGAAAGGCCGGGGUCUUUUAAAGACUCACGUAAACGUGCUUAGGAUGUUGGCGAAAUGGCUUCAAUCGACCCGUCUUGAAACACGGACCAAGGAGUCUAACAUGCCUGCGAGUGUUUUGGGUGGAAAACCCAAGCGCGUAAUGAAAGUGAAAGUUGAGACCUCUGUCGUGGAGGGCAUCGACGCCCGGACCUUGACCUUUUGUGACGGAUCCGCGGUAGAGCAUGUAUGUUGGGACCCGAAAGAUGGUGAACUAUGCCUGAAUAGGGUGAAGCCAGAGGAAACUCUGG
rnacentral:sRNA from 1 species